rnacentral:lncRNA from 1 species
CAACACAUUAAUCACCAGCUUCUGUGGCAGGCUGACUAGCAAUAGGCAUUGUUAACAAAACUUUUCUAAUAUGUCACUCUUCUCUAUGACAGCCUGUAAUCAAUCAUCGUGAUUGACAGUGCUGAUAGAUUACACUAUUUAUACUUUUUGUAAUGAAAGAUAGCGUUUCCACCUACUGUCAUUUCUAGGCUAGCAAUGGAGGGAUCGUUGAAUAGAAACAAACACAACAGCUCAGUCCUCAGCUCAGCAUUUGUGAAGUUAAAGUAAAGGCAGCGCUGAGGGUCCUUUUGUGGCAGACGUCAUAGGAGAACUAUUGUUAGGUAACCUGGUUAAAGCAGCACUCUUUCUGAACAUCGCAGGAUAUCGCUUUGAUGGUGACUUUGUCUCAUUUGCUGUCAGGUCAGGUUCAGGCAGGGUUUUUAAAUAUACAAACACACAAAAACAUAACUACAUCUGGCAACUUGAGUGCUAGACAACAGUGGGAUUAUCUGCAAACUGGACCCAUGGAAUUGAAGCCCAUGUAACCAACCAGGUGUCCACCAUGCACUGAUCAAGACCACAUGAUGGGACAGUAGCAUGACUGAAAGUGUUGGUUCCCCAUAUCUAC